AAAAUCCGUCGACUUUUAAAAUCGUGAGGGUUCAAGUCCCUCUAUCCCCCCCCAAAAAAGCCUUAUUUAUUUGACUCCCCAAAUAUUUAUCCUAUUCCC
rnacentral:tRNA from 1 species